AGUGAACGCUGGCGGUAGGCCUAACACAUGCAAGUCGAACGGCAGCAUAGUAAGCGCUUGCUCUUACGGGUGGCGAGUGGCGGACGGGUGAGGAAUACAUCGGAAUUUACUUUUUCGUGGGGGAUAACGUAGGGAAACUUACGCUAAUACCGCAUACGACCUACGGGUGAAAGCAGGGGAUCUUCGGACCUUGCGCGAUUGAAUGAGCCGAUGUCGGAUUAGCUAGUUGGCGGGGUAAAGGCCCACCAAGGCGACGAUCCGUAGCUGGUCUGAGAGGAAGGACAGCCACACUAGAACUGAGACACGGACCAGACUCCUACGGGAGGCAACAGAGGGGGAUGUUGGAUAAUGAGCGCAAGCCUAAUCCAGCCAUACCGCGUGGGUGAAAAAGGCCUUCGGGUUGUAAUGCCCUUUUGUUGGGAAAAAAAAGCAGCAGGUUAAUACCCCGCUGUUCUGACGGUACCCAAAGAAUAAGCACCGGCUAACUUCGUG
rnacentral:rRNA from 1 species